rnacentral:rRNA from 1 species
AUUGAACGCUGGCGGCAGGCCUAACACAUGCAAGUCGAGCGGAUGAAGGGAGCUUGCUCCUGGAUUCAGCGGCGGACGGGUGAGUAAUGCCUAGGAAUCUGCCUGGUAGUGGGGGAUAACGUCCGGAAACGGGCGCUAAUACCGCAUACGUCCCGAGGGAGAAAGUGGGGGAUCUUCGGACCUCACGCUAUCAGAUGAGCCUAGGUCGGAUUAGCUAGUUGGUGGGGUAAAGGCCUACCAAGGCGACGAUCCGUAACUGGUCUGAGAGGAUGAUCAGUCACACUGGAACUGAGACACGGUCCAGACUCCUACGGGAGGCAGCAGUGGGGAAUAUUGGACAAUGGGCGAAAGCCUGAUCCAGACAGGCCGCGUGUGUGAAGAAGGUCUUCGGAUUGUAAAGCACUUUAAGUUGGGAGGAAGGGCAGUAAGUUAAUACCUUGCUGUUUUGACGUUACCAACAGAAUAAGCACCGGCUAACUUCGUG